rnacentral:rRNA from 1 species
UGCGUAGGCGGUUGGGUAAGUCAGACGUGAAAUUCCAGGGCUCAACCGAGGAACUGCAUUUGAUACUGCCAGACUAGAGUACUGGAGAGGAGACUGGAAUUCACGGUGUAGCAGUGAAAUGCGUAGAUAUCGUGAGGAAGGCCAGUGGCGAAGGCGAGUCUCUGGACAGUAACUGACGCUGAGGCACGAAGGCCAGGGGAGCAAACG